CCCCCCCCCCCCAAACAGCAGCCUUGCAGAUUAUCUUCAAGAAAAUUCAAAACCCCUUUCACCCUCUGUUAGGGAUUCGCCUCUGCUUUGAGAUGCCGCGCACGAGGGUCAUCGGGGCUUCUGCGCCUCCACCUCUGAUGCCGAACCAUGGGGUAAGGCCAGGUACAUGCUAGGUGUGGACUCUGACGUGGAGGUAGAGUGGUGCACGAUGCGGAGAGUCGCGUGACAUGCGGUGCCUGGGGACUGCUCGGUUGCAAAUGAUGGCUUCUAGAUUUUUUGCAAUCUGUUUGUGUUUUUGGGCUGUUUAGGCCAUGUUUGUAAAUGGGUACUUAGGUUUGGGCCUACUUAGCUUCUAGUGGUUUGGGCCAGGCAAAUUUUGGGCCCUACACCCAUCAUUCUUGUAACACCCCUUACCCAUAUCCGUUGUUGGAAAGGGUUUCAGAGCAUUACCGAUGUUCACCGAUCAAACAGACAUAAAUUUCAAACUGUAACACCCCAAACCCGACUUGGACAGUAUGGUUGAAUCUGGCGAUGUCACACGAGAGUGUUUUUGAAAA